rnacentral:rRNA from 2 species
CGGCCAUGGCCCAGGUGAGACGCCCGGUCCCAUUCCGAACCCGGAAGCUAAGGCCUGGCACGGCGAUGGUACUGCACCCGACAGGGUGUGGGAGAGUAGCACGCCGCCGCAC